UGGCGCUUGAUUUCAACACUGU
rnacentral:miRNA from 1 species